rnacentral:rRNA from 1 species
UGGGGAAUAUUGGACAAUGGGCGCAAGCCUGAUCCAGCCAUGCCGCGUGGGUGAAGAAGGCCUUAGGGUUGUAAACCCCUUUCAGCGGGGAAGAUAAUGACGGUACCCGCAGAAGAAGUCCCGGCUAACUCCGUGCCAGCAGCCGCGGUAAUACGGAGGGGACUAGCGUUGUUCGGAAUUACUGGGCGUAAAGCGCACGUAGGCGGAUUCGUAAGUCAGGGGUGAAAUCCCGAGGCUCAACCUCGGAACUGCCUUUGAUACUGCGAAUCUCGAGUCCGGAAGAGGUGAGUGGAAUUCCUAGUGUAGAGGUGAAAUUCGUAGAUAUUAGGAAGAACACCAGUGGCGAAGGCGGCUCACUGGUCCGGUACUGACGCUGAGGCGCGAAAGCGUGGGGAGCAA